ACGCUCAAGUCAGUUCUCUACCUCAACAAGAAUGGAGUGCUCGAACGAAAAUUUUAGCAGAGUUUUGAGAUAGAAAAUAAAGCUUAUAUAAUAAUAUAUCUGGGGUCCUCUUUUAUAGGCGUAGGGGGCUGCAAGCUGAUAGCGACAUCUGUAACCGUCUGGUCGUGGGCUGCCCAGGGUCAGGCGGAGUUUGUUGUGAAGAGUAGUGGAGUAGACCCGUGGCUAUCACCGAAGCGUGCCACGUGGAGUCUGCCGCAGGGAGUGGAGCGGCAUCCAUUGUCGCGACUUGCCAGGGGUUGGAAGAAUCGCACGGUAUCCAUCGCAGGAAGUGGAGCAGUGCUGUGGCCGUUACUGCGGCCUGCCAGGGAGUAAUGGAGCCGCGUAGGAUCCGCUAUAGGGAGUAAUGGAGUCAUGUAGGAUCCGCCGUAGGGAGUGAAGCAGAAUCGCGGCCGUUACUACGGCCUGCCAAGGAGUCUAGACUCAUCGACUGAAGUUCGGUUGAAGUCUGUAGCUGGAG
rnacentral:lncRNA from 1 species